rnacentral:rRNA from 1 species
UCUAACCUGGGUCCGUGAUCCGGAUCAGGGACAGUGUCUGAUGGGUAGUUUAACUGGGGCGGUUGCCUCCUAAAGAGUAACGGAGGCGCCCAAAGGUUCCCUCAGCCUGGUUGGCAAUCAGGUGUUGAGUGUAAGUGCACAAGGGAGCUUGACUGUGAGACCGACGGGUCGAGCAGGGACGAAAGUCGGGACUAGUGAUCCGGCGGUGGCUUGUGGAAGCGCCGUCGCUCAACGGAUAAAAGGUACCCCGGGGAUAACAGGCUGAUCUUCCCCAAGAGUCCAUAUCGACGGGAUGGUUUGGCACCUCGAUGUCGGCUCGUCGCAUCCUGGGGCUGGAGUCGGUCCCAAGGGUUGGGCUGUUCGCCCAUUAAAGCGGUACGCGAGCUGGGUUUAGAACGUCGUGAGACAGUUCGGUCCCUAUCCGCUGUGCGCGUAGGAAUAUUGAGAAGGGCUGUCCCUAGUACGAGAGGACCGGGACGGACGAACCUCUGGUGUGCCAGUUGUCCUGCCAAGGGCAUGGCUGGUUGGCUACGUUCGGGAGGGAUAACCGCUGAAAGCAUCUAAGCGGGAAGCCUGCUUCGAGAUGAGUAUUCCCACCUCCUUGAGAGGGUAAGGCUCCCAGUAGACGACUGGGUUGAUAGGCCAGAUAUGGAAGCCUGGUAACGGGUGGAGUUGACUGGUACUAAUAGGCCGAGGGCUUGUCCUCAGUUG